rnacentral:tRNA from 1 species
AAAGAAUUAGUUAAAAAAAUAACAUAAAUAUGUCAAAUUUAAAUUAUUAUCAAUUAAAUAUAAUAUUCUUUU